AUCCAGUUGAUGAGUCCCAAGUAGGACGAAACACGUUUUCUGUAU
rfam:Schistosoma mansoni, Puerto Rico, WGS project CABG01000000 data, contig: 0097